CCUACGGGAGGCAGCAGUGAGGAAUAUUGGUCAAUGGGCGUAAGCCUGAACCAGCCAUGUCGCGUGAGGGAUGGAGGUUCUAUGGAUCGUAAACCUCUUUUUUAAGGGAAUAAAGUGUGGGACGUGUCCCAUUCUGUAUGUACCUUAUGAAUAAGGAUCGGCUAACUCCGUGCCAGCAGCCGCGGUAAUACGGAGGAGCCGAGCGUUAUCCGGAUUUAUUGGGUUUAAAGGGUGCGUAGGCGGCCUUUUAAGUUAGGGGUGAAAGGCUGUGGCUCAACCAGAGAAGUGCCGUUGAUACUGUGGGGCUUGAGUAUGUUUGAGGCAGGCGGAAUGUGUGGUGUAGCGGUGAAAUGCUUAGAUAUCACGCAGAACCCCGAUUGCGAAGGCAGCUUACCAAGCCAUGACUGACGCUGAUGCACGAAAGCGUGGGGAUCAAACAGGAUUAGAUACCCGGGUAGUC
rnacentral:rRNA from 1 species